GAGAGAGCAGCAGGCGAGCCAAUACAGUUACUCAAAUGGCAAUACUUGCAUGCCAUCUACUCGCUUCGUUAAAUAUAGCACACUUCAAUAAAAAAAAUGCUGUGCCAACGUUUCAGUUCGGUUUCCAUUCAUCAAUAUAAGAAAGCGACCCAAACUGUGUCAAUCAGCGACAGCGACAGCGAUAGGAGACAGCGACAGUGGCAGAGACAGCGGCUGCGGCAGAGGCAGAGCCAGAGGAAGAGGCGAGGACAGCGAUGAGGCAAAGACCAGUUUAAAGCGAAUUGGCAGGUCUCGUGCGCUUAUCAGACCCGUUCGCCAUCUCAGUUUGUUUGUUGGGCAAAGGUGACCCGGCGAACUGUGGGGCUAUCAGCGGCGACAAACAUGCACGCAUACUAACACACACACACACACACUCGCACACACACACACAGACACUCGCUCAAGUGAAGAGCGUUUGAAAUUUGCGUUGGGUUGGUUUGACUGACCGCGCGAAUUAUGAUUGAAUAAUGUGCCCACAACGAGGGUCGCAGCCGUAGUCGCUUGCCAGUCAAUUAUGCAAAACGGUUACUGCACUUUGCAUUAAUUAACAACAAGAACAGAAACAGCAACAACAACGACAACAACAGCAGCAGCAAAUGCAAAUAACUAAUAGACACAAACUCUUUGCUCCGCAGUCAUACAAUUUGCACGUGUCGUGCCUAGGCCUAAGCUCAGCUUGCAAGGCAAACAGCUGUUCUAAGAGAGAGAGAGAGAGAGAGCGAAUGGGAGAGUGAGUGGGAGAGUGAGUGGGAGAGUGCACAAAGCGCAAGGCAAGAAAUUGCUGUUGUUGUUAUUGCUGCUGUUGUUAUUGUAUUGUAUGCUGCCUCCCUUCCAGUUUUUUAACGGAACAUACAUUCUAAAAACAUUACAUAAAGUUCUGCCAUCAUCAUCAUCAUCAUCAUCAUCAUCAUCAUCAUCAUCAUCAUCAUCGGCGUCGGGGGGUCUAGACACCGUCAAGCCCCGACGCGGCAUCAUUCACCAACGACUACUCAGUUUAUUUAAUUAUAGUAAAAUGUACAAAUAAAAUAAAUAUUCAUUAUAUGUAUAGCUUGUAUGUAUGUAUAGUGCCUUAAAUAUUAAUCGUUUACUAAAUAUUCUC